AGAGUUUGAUCAUGGCUCAGGAUGAACGCUGGCGGCGUGCUUAACACAUGCAAGUCGAACGAAGCUCUUCUAACAGAUCCUUCGGGUGAAGAUAGAAGAUGACUGAGUGGCGGACGGGUGAGUAACGCGUGGGAAACCUGCCCUAUGCAGGGGGAUAACAGUUGGAAACGACUGCUAAUACCGCAUAAGCGCACAGCAUCGCAUGGUGCAGUGUGAAAAGCCUUUACGGCAUAGGAUGGUCCCGCGUCUGAUUAGCUAGUUGGUGAGGUAACGGCCCACCAAGGCGACGAUCAGUAGCCGACCUGAGAGGGUGACCGGCCACAUUGGGACUGAGACACGGCCCAAACUCCUACGGGAGGCAGCAGUGGGGAAUAUUGCACAAUGGGCGAAAGCCUGAUGCAGCGACGCCGCGUGAGUGAUGAAGUAUCUCGGUAUGUAAAGCUCUAUCAGCAGGGAAGAUAAUGACGGUACCUGACUAAGAAGCACCGGCUAAAUACGUGCCAGCAGCCGCGGUAAUACGUAUGGUGCAAGCGUUAUCCGGAUUUACUGGGUGUAAAGGGAGUGUAGGCGGUUUUGCAAGUCUGAUGUGAAAACCCGGGGCUCAACUCCGAGGAUUGCAUUGGAAACUGUAGAACUAGAGUGUCGGAGAGGUAAGUGGAAUUCCUAGUGUAGCGGUGAAAUGCGUAGAUAUUAGGAGGAACACCAGUGGCGAAGGCGGCUUACUGGACGAUUACUGACGCUGAGGGCUCGAAAGCGUGGGGAGCAAACAGGAUUAGAUACCCUGGUAGUCCACGCUGUAAACGAUGAAUACUAGGUGUUGGGGACCACAGGUCCUCGGUGCCGCAGCUAACGCAAUAAGUAUUCCACCUGGGGAGUACGUUCGCAAGAAUGAAACUCAAAGGAAUUGACGGGGACCCGCACAAGCGGUGGAGCAUGUGGUUUAAUUCGAUGAUACGCGAGGAACCUUACCCGGGCUUGAACUGCAGGCGAACGAUACAGAGAUGUUGAGGCCCUUCGGGGCGCCUGUGGAGGUGCUGCAUGGUUGUCGUCAGCUCGUGCCGUGAGGUGUCGGCUUAAGUGCCAUAACGAGCGCAACCCCUUUCUCCAGUUACCAUCAGGUAGAGCUGGGCACUCUGGAGACACUGCCACCGUAAGGUGUGAGGAAGGUGGGGAUGACGUCAAAUCAGCACGGCCCUUACGUCCGGGGCUACACACGUGUUAUAAUGGGUGGUACAGAGAGUCGGUCGCUGGCAAUAGCGAUCCAAUCCUAAAAGCCAUCCUCAGUUCGGAUUGGGGUCUGCAACCCGACCCCAUGAAGCUGGAUUCGCUAGUAAUCGCGCAUCAGCCAUGGCGCGGUGAAUACGUUCCCGGGCCUUGUACACACCGCCCGUCAAGCCAUGAAAGCCGGGGGCGCCUGAAGUCCGUGACCGCGAGGGUCGGCCUAGGGUGAAACCGGUGAUUGGGGCUAAGUCGUAACAAGGUAACCGUA
rnacentral:rRNA from 1 species